UGAGGUACUUAUUUUUUUUUUUUUUUCAAAAAAUAUACAAAUUAUCUGAAUUAUAGAUUAUUUUAAGUUAGCUAAUUAAUCAUUUAAAGUUUUAAUUUUACUAUCUAACCUUUUAUUUUAUGUGAUUUGAGCCCGUCGACGCUAUUUUGACUUUAAAAUUUGACUACGCUAUUUAUAUUUAUAAAUUUAGUUAGUAUAUUUUAUAUAAUUUUUGCAGUUAUGAAUUUAUUAAAAUAACUGAUUAGCUUAGAUUUGAAGCCAAAGUAUUAUUGACUGCAAAUCAAAAAAUUAAAAUUUUGAAAGGUUGAUUACCUGACUUAAAAUAAUUUAUAGUUUAGGGGGUGUUUGGUCACUGUAAAACUGCUCCGAAAACUUUUUUUCUACCGAAACUUUUUUUCGGUGUUUGGUUCCACGUAAAAUUUUUUUUGGAAAAUUUGUUUUACAGAUUCUCUGAAAAAAAAUAAUUUUCGUUUUCCGGCCGGCAUCCGCGGAAAACAAAAACUGGGCUCAAAAAAGCGCAGCUCACAGGGCCUUUUGCGCACGCGGUCUACGAGAUCAUCUUCAUCUCGUGGACCUGCGUGAGAGAGAGAGAGAGAGAGAGAGUCCACGGACUCUCUCUGCCUCUUCCAUUAUAUAUAUAUGGGCUUUUUUUACAAAUAGCCUCCUGAGCAAUUUUUAUUUUAAAAAUAGCCCUAUCAAAAUUAAAAUUGCAAAAAUGGCCCUGUCUCUGCCACGCAGGCGCCACGUCAGCGCCACGCGGGCAGGGCUGGGGCCAGGGUAUUAAGUUGAACACGGUGAAUCAUUCACCGUGUCUAAACACGGUGGAUGGUUCACCGUGUUUAGUACGUAUUUUUUGUAUAUUGAAAAGUGGAAUAAAGAAUAGGGAUGUCAAUAGAUAUGGAUAUCCGAAAUAUUAUCCGAAUCUAAACCCAAAUUAAUUAUAUAUAUACGUAAUUUAUUUUUGUUUAUUUAUACAAUAUAUAAAAUAUUUAAUAAUUUUUAUUCCUUAGAUCUUCAUCCAACGGUAUAGAUUUUUAAAACCCGCUGGAUUGGACAAAGAUCUAAGGAAUAAAAAUUAUUAAAUAUUUUAUAUAUUGUAUAAAUAAACAAAAAUAAAUUACGUAUAUAUAUAUAAUUUAUUCGGGUUUGAAUUCGGAUAAUAUUUCGGAUAUCCAUAUCUAUUGACAUCCCUAUUCCUUAUUCCUCUUUUCAAUAUAUAAAAAAUACGUACUAAACACGGUGAACCAUUCACCGUGUUUGAAUACGGUGAAUGGUUCACCGUGUUCAACUUAACACAUGGGCACGGCCCUGUCUGCGUGGCGCUGACGUGGCGCCUGCGUGGCAGGCCCAUGGCCAUUUUUGCAAAUUAAAUUUUGACAGGGCUAUUUUUAAAAUAAAAAUUUGCCAGGGGUCUAAAUGCAAAAAAAGCCCUAUAUAUAUAUAAUUUUAAUAUAUUAUUGUGUAAUAUUUUAUAUAUAUAUAAAUAUUAUUUAUAAAUAUAUAGUAAUUUAUUUUUUUGAUAUACUGAAGCUUAGCAAAUUGGUAAGGUUACAGUAUAAGUUUAUGCUUGAUUGAGUUGAAGACGUUUUGCGCAAAAUAGACGUAAAAACAGACUUUGAAACUCAAGAUUUAUAUUGUGGAGGACUAAAGUUGAAUAUCUAGUUAUAUAGGGGCUUGUGGGCAAUUUUGUUU
rnacentral:lncRNA from 1 species